rnacentral:rRNA from 1 species
GACGAACGCUGGCGGCGUGCCUAAUACAUGCAAGUCGAACGCUGAAGGAGGAGCUUGCUUCUCUGGAUGAGUUGCGAACGGGUGAGUAACGCGUAGGUAACCUGCCUGGUAGCGGGGGAUAACUAUUGGAAACGAUAGCUAAUACCGCAUAAGAGUAGAUGUUGCAUGACAUUUGCUUAAAAGGUGCAAUUGCAUCACUACCAGAUGGACCUGCGUUGUAUUAGCUAGUUGGUGGGGUAACGGCUCACCAAGGCGACGAUACAUAGCCGACCUGAGAGGGUGAUCGGCCACACCGGGACUGAGACACGGCCCAGACUCCUACGGGAGGCAGCAGUAGGGAAUCUUCGGCAAUGGACGGAAGUCUGACCGAGCAACGCCGCGUGAGUGAAGAAGGUUUUCGGAUCGUAAAGCUCUGUUGUAAGAGAAGAACGAGUGUGAGAGUGGAAAGUUCACACUGUGACGGUAUCUUACCAGAAAGGGACGGCUAACUACGUG